AAAAAGUAAAAAAAAAAUCAUUAUAUUGCAAAAAAUGAUGAUUUUGUAAAUCGUUUUUUUCCGUAGCGCGCUCGUUAAUUUCCGCCGCUCUUUCCGAUGAUGACGUAGGAAUAUCCCCAGCGUAAUUGACCUCGCGACCUGUUCACUCGCAUGUGUAAUUUUCCCGCGGAUACAUCAUUUACUACACAGUGUCAUUUGUGAUUUUACAUAUUUUGUGUGACAGUGAUUCAGUCUGGACAUUGUUGUUAAAGUGAAAACAGUUUUUUUAAUCUACGUGCGUUAAAUAGAAGAACAAAUCAUGGUGCACUGUGUUGCAUUUGGGUGCAACAACAAAAGUGACGAUGGGACGAAAGGGUUCUUCCUCUUUCCGAAGGACGAGAACUUACGUCAAAAAUGGACGAAUAAUUUGAAUUCUCUGAGAAGUGUGGAUGGGAAGUUAGUUCCGUUUGUGCCAAGUAAGACGUCUCGUGUAUGUCUAAGACACUUUACCGAUGACAGUUUUGUGCAUUCGCCAAGUGUAAUGAAAUCAGUUGGGUUGACACUAAAACUACAAUUAGUGAAAGGGGCAGUGCCAACUGUUUUUCCUGAGACAGUUUCCUACAAGGAAAACAGGAAACCAGUUUCCAACUGUCUGGGUCCAGCAAAGAGAAAAAGGACCACCUAUGGUGCCUUCGAGAAAAGGAACCGUAAAGCGUGUGUUGAUGAACUGAUCAUGUCACAUCAGCUGCUGCAGAAAGAAGAAGAAGAGAAACGGCGAAUUGAAGAGGAACUUCAUUUAGAAGAAGUUGAGCUUGGUCAUGCACCAGCAGUGAAAUCCAUAUCAUCAAUUGAGCUGCAUGGUAAUGCUACUUCACGAGCCUGUCAGACAACUGAGCAAGUCGGCCUACGGAACAUAAAGGUUAAAGUCAGAGAGUGUGGGACACUUGCAGUGACUGAAACAAAGGACAUGAUGUGUGGCCCAGACCAGUGUACACCUUCAGUUGAGAAGAGUUUCCAAUUCCCAGAAAAUGCCUGCUAUGAUGACCCAGCUGAACAGUCUGACGAGGAGUAUGUCGACAAUGUGGAAGAAGACCCAGACUGGGAACCAUCUGCUGAUGACUUGGCAGAUCUAGACGAGGAUGGAGAUGAUGAUGAAAACGCAACUGUUUGGCACGACUGUAUAGAAGACCAUGCACCAGACCUAAUGAAAGAAGAAAAAUUCAUUGUUUUUCAGAGUUGUCUUCUGUCUCUGUUAAGGUUGUGCCACAUAUAUUCCGGGGUGUGUAGCAACAUUAAGAAGAAAGUGGUGGGCAGCAUGGUAAUUUUUGAAAGUGUUUGUGAAACUGGACAUUCAAGGAUCUGGCGUAGCCAACCGGUGGUUAGUGGUGCUCCAGUUGGGAACGUGUUAUCAGCAGGUGCCUUGGUGUUUUCAGGACUAUCACCGUCAAAACUUUUCAACUUUUUCAAAUUUACAAACAUUUUAAUGAUCAAGGAAAGAACAUUUAACAGAUACCAGAAAUCGUUUGUUAUUCCGGCAAUAGCGAAUACAUGGCAACAGAAACAGAACGAGACCCUCCUGGCAUGUAGAGGGAGAAGUAUUCGUGUAGGUGGCGAUGCUAGGUGCUGCUCUCCUGGACAUACUGCCAAAUAUGGAAGCUACACAUUGAUGGAUUUAGAGACAGGCAUGGUGUUAGCUACAGAAUUAGUAUAAAGCAAUGAAGUGAAGAACUCGAAUGCUAUGGAAUUAGAGGGGUUGAAGAGAACCAUGAAAGUUGUGGAAGAUAUGGGUGUGACUCUGAGCGACACAACCACAGAUCGCCAUGUACAGGUCCGAAAAUAUCUCCGUGAAAAUAAAGGACAUAUUAAUCACUGGUUUGACAGCUGGCAUGUUGCCAAAAAAUAAAUCUAGCAGCCUUGCACACCUGUUCAAAUGCCGGCAGAGCACAGGCCAUCACAAGGGAUGGGCAACUUCGUUACAGCUUGUCGUACCCAAAGUACAAAGGUGGAAAGCAUAUUGUGAAGCCAGUUAUG